AUUGAACGCUGGCGGCGUGCUUAACACAUGCAAGUCGUGCGGUAACAGGCGUAGCAAUACGUGCUGACGAGCGGCGAACGGGUGCGUAAUACAUGGGAAUCUGCCUUUUAGUGGGGAAUAACCCGGCGAAAGCCGGGCUAAUGCCGCAUAAGAUCUUCGGAUGAAAGCGGGGGAUCGUAAGACCUCGCGCUGAUAGAUGAGCCCAUGCCGGAUUAGCUAGNGGUGAGGUAACGGCUCACCAAGGCGACGAUCCGUAGCUGGUCUGAGAGGACGGCCAGCCACACUGGGACUGAGACACGGCCCAGACUCCUACGGGAGGCAGCGGUGGGGAAUAUUGGACAAUGGGGAACCCUGAUCCAGCGACGCCGCGUGUGUGAAGAAGGCCU
rnacentral:rRNA from 1 species